rnacentral:rRNA from 1 species
CAGUAGCGCGGUAAUGCGUAGGGUGCGAGCGUUAAUCGGAAUUACUGGGCGUAAAGCGUGCGCAGGCGGUUGUGUAAGACAGGAGUGAAAUCCCCGGGCUUAACCUGGGAACUGCGCUUGUGACUGCACAGCUAGAGUAUGGCAGAGGGGGGUGGAAUUCCACGUGUAGCAGUGAAAUGCGUAGAGAUGUGGAGGAACACCGAUGGCGAAGGCAGCCCCCUGGGCCAAUACUGACGCUCAUGCACGAAAGCGUGGGGAGCAAACAGGAUUAGAUACCCGCGUAGUCCCUGUCUCUUAUACC